GUGAGGAAUAUUGGGCAAUGGGGGGAACCCUGACCCAGCCAUGCCGCGUGAGGGAAGUAGGCCCUACGGGUCGUGAACCUCUUUUGUCCAGGGACAAGGACGGCGUCGGGAACGCCGUUUGAGGGUACUGGAAGAAUAAGCAUCGGCUAACUCCGUGCCAGCAGCCGCGGUAAUACGGAGGAUGCGAGCGUUAUCCGGAUUCAUUGGGUUUAAAGGGUGCGCAGGCGGCCGGGCAAGUCAGCGGUGAAAGUCAGGGGCCCAACCCCGGAAGUGCCGUUGAUACUGUUCGGCUGGAAUGCGGUCGAGGCGGGCGGAAUGUGGCGUGUAGCGGUGAAAUGCGUAGAUAUGCCACAGAACGCCGAUAGCGAAGGCAGCUCGCCAGGCCUGCAUUGACGCUCGGGCACGAAAGCGUGGGGAUCGAACAGG
rnacentral:rRNA from 1 species